rnacentral:rRNA from 1 species
CCUACGGGAGGCAGCAGUGGGGAACAUUGGACAAUGGGCGAAAGCCUGAUCCAGCCAUGCCGCGUGUGUGAAGAAGGUCUUCGGAUUGUAAAGCACUUUAAGUUGGGAGGAAGGGCAGUUACCUAAUAUGUGAUUGUCUUGACGUUACCGACAGAAUAAGCACCGGCUAACUCUGUGCCAGCAGCCGCGGUAAUACAGAGGGUGCAA